rnacentral:rRNA from 1 species
GACGAACGCUGGCGGCGUGCUUAACACAUGCAAGUGGAGCGACGAACCAGGCUUCGGCCUGGGGCAGAGCCGCGAACGGGUGAGUAACACGUGGGUAACCUGCCUCGAUGACCGGGACAACCCGGGGAAACCCGGGCUAAUACCGGAUGUGCUGUCCUCACAUCAGUGAGGGUUGGAAAGGAAGCUUCGGCCUCCGCAUCGAGAUGGGCCCGCGGCCCAUUAGCUUGUUGGUGAGGUAAAGGCUCACCAAGGCUGCGAUGGGUAGCUGGUCUGAGAGGACGAUCAGCCACACUGGGACUGAGACACGGCCCAGACACCUACGGGAGGGAGCAGUGGGGAAUCUUGCGCAAUGCGCGAAAGCGUGACGCAGCAACGCCGCGUGGGGGAAGAAGGCCUUCGGGUUGUAAACCCCUUUCAGGAGGGACGAAGGUUGGGCGGUGAAUAGCCGACCCGACUGACGGUACCUCCAGAAGAAGCCCCGGCUAACUACGUGCCAGCCGCCGCUGUAAAAC